rnacentral:rRNA from 1 species
GACGAACGCUGGCGGCGUGCUUAACACAUGCAAGUCGAACGGAAAGGUCCUGCUUUUGUGGGGUGCUCGAGUGGCGAACGGGUGAGUAACACGUGAGUAACCUGCCCUUGACUUUGGGAUAACUUCAGGAAACUGGGGUUAAUACCGGAUCGUAGCUCCUCCUGCCUGGUGGGGGUGGGAAAGUUUCGGCGGUUGGGGAUGGACUCGCGGCUUAUCAGCUUGUUGGUGGGGUAGUGGCUUACCAAGGCUUUGACGGGUAGCCGGCCUGGGAGGGUGACCGGCCACAUUGGGACUGAGAUACGGCCCAGACUCCUACGGGAGGCAGCAGUGGGGAAUAUUGCACAAUGGGCGGAAGCCUGAUGCAGCAACGCCGCGGGCGGGAUGACGGCCUUCGGGUUGUAAACCGCUUUCGCCUGUGACGAAGCGUGAGUGACGGUAAUGGGUAAAGAAGCACCGGCUAACUACGUG